ensembl:lncRNA
AUCUUUUUCUCGUGAUUCCUUCCUUUGAAGUUUUCUACUGUAAGCUUAGGACACAAUUCCUACUUCAGAUCUAUGUGCUGAGGCUGAGUGAGGUUAUUAGAUAAAUGCCUGUGGCCUGAGAAGCCUGAGGGGUGGCUGUAAUGAGAAGAUUUUUACCAGCUGGUCCAAAAUCUUCAAGUUGCCUACCUGACUGCUGAAAGAAAGCCAAGAUGGUAUCCUUUGAGAGAGUCUCACUACCUCUUAAUUCCAGUGCAGAUCAUCAUUACUUGAAACUGAAGUGAAUUUGGCAUCUGGGAGAGUAACUGACUUCAUCUCGCUCAGUGCAUCUUAUGUUAGUGGUGUUCUCUGGGUUUGCUGAGCAGAAUUUCACUAUUGGCUGAGCUCCUUAGGCUAAUAUUUUCAAAGACAGCUAUAGGGAAUUAAUGUCCAACUCAGUAGGAUAUUGGUGGGUUAUUCCCUUGGUUUCCUUGGGGGGAAAAAAAAAUGUGCCUGGAUUUGCUGACUUUGACCAUUUAAAGAGAUGGUGGAAUUUGGUUCCGCCAUGCAUGAAAUCUUUAUUGGGUCUUGUUCAGAGCCUAGAGCUAAAACAUUCACAGAGCAGUGAUCUCAUAUUAAUGAUGGUAGUGUAACUGUGAUGUGAUUUAAUAAAGAGAAGAAACAUAGCUUAUUACUGUAACUUGUAAUUCUAAUGCAUUUCCUCCCAAUGCUGGAAGGAAGCAUUUUCCAUUACCUCUCAUGUUUCUUUUCCAAGGGAGUGAAAUUUCUUAUUUUUCCAGAACUAGGAGCACCCCUAUUCUUCAGACAAGUUAUCCAUUUGUAGAACUCUUUUAAAAUGCCCUAGUUGGCAGGGGAAGAACAAAAGGCCUCAGCACAGGGCUGGUGUGGUGGGGGAUGAACUGAGUAAUCAGACGAGUCAGGUGAGGGUUGCUGCUGCUCAGUCAGCAUCAUGGGGAGGGAUGCAGAAACAGGAAUUGAGUGUCUGUGCUAACUGUCUGUGGGUAUUUAAAUUCUCAUUCUUCACCUAAGUGGAAAACAACAUUUUUCCCCAUUGCCCUGGGAUCUCUUAUUCAAGGCUGGAGUUGGAUGCUCAGUUGGAAGAAGUGUCCUGCAUUUAGGCUGUGUGGAAGUGUGUGCUAUGAGCUGCUGUUACAAAGCAGUUCAUGCAGGGUAACUCAUCACCCCGCUGCCCAUCUGUAUGCUUGCGCCGCAUCGUUAUGAGAGGUAAUUCAAGGUAGCUGACUUUCAAGGAGAGAAGGCAGCCCUUGGAUUUUGUAUCUCUAGAAGAAGAAAAGGUUUCGUUGCAUUUCCUUAAAUACAAUUUGUGCUUUUUUACAGUGUGAAUAACAUUCUUUAAUAUCUAUAUUUAGUGUAGCAACUACAAUAAAUCCAACUCUG